CCUACGGGGGGCAGCAGUCGAGGAUCUUCGGCAAUGGGCGCAAGCCUGACCGAGCGACGCCGCGUGCGGGAUGAAGGCCUUCGGGUUGUAAACCGCUGUCAGGGGGGAUGAAAUCAUGGUGGGUACUCCCAUCAUGUUGACAGAGCCCCAGAGGAAGCGCGGGCUAAGUUCGUGCCAGCAGCCGCGGUAAUACGAACUGCGGGAACGAUAUUCGGAAUAGGGGGGCUUACAGGCUUCGAAAGUGGCAUGUGAAAUGCCUUGGCUCAACCAAGGCACAGCGCUCUAAACUACUUUGCUUGAGUGAGUCAGGGGUGCACGGAACUUCCGGUGGAGCGGUGAAAUGUGUUGAUAUCGGAAGGAACACCGGCGGCGAAAGCGGUGCACUGGGGCUUAACUGACACUGAGGCACGAAAGCCAGGGGAGCGAACGGGAUUAGAUACCCCUGUAGUC
rnacentral:rRNA from 1 species